GACAAGUAAUAAAAACAACUUUGAACAUUUCUUUCAGAUUUGCUUUUUUGCAUAAACUUCACUCCAAUUAAGCUCCAGUGAGCCACAGUAAUUUUUUUUAGAACUGUGGCCAGAGCUCAUCUACAGGAAUAUAUUGCUGAAAUGAUUCGUAUUUGUGGACAACUUAGGAUAAGAAAACAUCAUCUUCUGUAAGACUCACACUUAAUUGAUGUUUGGAGCCACUUUAUGAUAGGAAGGAAUUCGUAGAGUCCUGAAGUACCAGUCUACCUUGUCCUAAACUGUCCUCAGUCCUGACCAACCUGCAGGGCGCAAAGUUCACAAACAAGGAAGUGGAUAUUCUUGUGCAGGUAUCUGGAACGAGAUUUCUAAAUACAAGGGCAGUAAACAAACCUCAUGGUUCUACCUUCAGAACACAUCCAUAGCUGGACCACUUGGUACCACACAGGCGCUAGCUACCAUGCACCACCUCCAGGAUCGUGGCAAUCAUCUCCUGCCAGCCUCCCACUUCUCCCCUUAGCCUGCUCUGUCCCUUCCCAACACAGCAGUCAAGCGGCUGAAACACCGCGUCAUGGGCUCAAUCAUUUAUGCCGGUCUCCACCCAACCAGGAAAAGAACCCAUUCUAGACAUCUCAAUCAGGGAACGCACUGCGGGAUUUGGUUACAAAGAUUCCUAAUUGCUAGAAAAGAAACCUGUAGCAAAAUGAGCCAGG
rnacentral:lncRNA from 1 species